GUGGGGAAUAUUGGACAAUGGGCGAAAGCCUGAUCCAGCCAUGCCGCGUGUGUGAAGAAGGUCUUCGGAUUGUAAAGCACUUUAAGUUGGGAGGAAGGGCAGUAAGUUAAUACCUUGCUGUUUUGACGUUACCGACAGAAUAAGCACCGGCUAACUUCGUGCCAGCAGCCGCGGUAAUACGAAGGGUGCAAGCGUUAAUCGGAAUUACUGGGCGUAAAGCGCGCGUAGGUGGUUUUGUAAGUUGGAGGUGAAAUCCCCGGGCUCAACCUGGGAACUGCCUCCAAAACUGCAUGACUAGAGUACGGUAGAGGGUAGUGGAAUUUCCUGUGUAGCGGUGAAAUGCGUAGAUAUAGGAAGGAACACCAGUGGCGAAGGCGACCACCUGGACUGAUACUGACACUGAGGUGCGAAAGCGUGGGGAGCAAACAGGAUUAGAUACCCCAGUAGUCC
rnacentral:rRNA from 1 species